rnacentral:rRNA from 1 species
GUGCCAGCAGCCGCGGUAGUACCAGCACCCCGAGUGGUCGGGACGAUUAUUGGGCCUAAAGCAUCCGUAGCCGGUUCUACAAGUCUUCCGUUAAAUCCACCUGCUUAACAGUUGGGCUGCAGAGGAUACUAUAGAGCUAGGAGACGGGAGAGGCAAGCGGUACUUAGUGGGUAGGGGUAAAAUCCGUUGAUCCACUGAAGACCACCAGUGGCGAAGGCGGCUUGCCAGAACGCGCUCGACGGUGAGGGAUGAAAGCUGGGGGAGCAAACCGGAUUAGAAACCCGCGUAGUCC